rnacentral:rRNA from 1 species
UACGAAGGGGGCUAGCGUUGCUCGGAAUCAUUGGGCGUAAAGGGCGCGUAGGUGGCCCUCACAGUCGGGCGUGAAAUCCCCAGGCUCAACCCGGGGACUGCGCCCGAGACUGAAAGGCUCGAAUCCGGGAGAGGGAUGUGGAAUUCCAGGUGUAGCGGUGAAAUGCGUAGAUAUCUGGAGGAACAUCGGUGGCGAAGGCGGCAUCCUGGACCGGUAUUGACGCUGAGGCGCGAAAGCCAGGGGAGCAAACGGG